UUCUGAAAUUUUAGAAGCUAAGGUAUAGGUUGGUGGCUCUGGUCUUGCCUAUACUCGAAAAUCGCAGGCAGAGAUAAGCAUGUAGAAAGCAUAUGGCUUCCUCGUUUGGACGGGAGUUCGAUUCUCCCCAGGUCCACAA
rnacentral:tmRNA from 1 species